rnacentral:snoRNA from 1 species
GAGCUAUGACGAAAGCUGCGCUCUUGUGGUGGUUAUUGGGUCGCCACGUGUGCCUGAUAUUGAUCGGACGACAAAUCGUGCAUCUGAGCUC